rnacentral:tRNA from 1 species
GAGGGUAGAGCUCAGUGGCAGAGAGCAUGCCUAGCACGCAGGAGGUCCCGGGUUCAAUUCCCAGUACUUCCA